rnacentral:rRNA from 1 species
UAACUGGGCGUAAAGGGCACGCAGGCGGUGACUUAAGUGAGGUGUGAAAGCCCCGGGCUUAACCUGGGAAUUGCAUUUCAUACUGGGUCGCUAGAGUACUUUAGGGAGGGGUAGAAUUCCACGUGUAGCGGUGAAAUGCGUAGAGAUGUGGAGGAAUACCGAAGGCGAAGGCAGCCCCUUGGGAAUGUACUGACGCUCAUGUGCGAAAGCGUGGGGAGCAAACAGGAUUAGAUACCCUGGUAGUCCACGCUGUAAACGAUGUCGAUUUGGGGGUUGAACUUUGUGUUUGGCGCCCGUAGCUAACGUGAUAAAUCGACCGCCUGGGGAGUACGGCCGCAAGGUUAAAACUCAAAUGAAUUGACGGGGGCCCGCACAAGCGGUGGAGCAUGUGGUUUAAUUCGAUGCAACGCGAAGAACCUUACCUACUCUUGACAUCCAGAGAACAUUCCAGAGAUGGAUUGGUGCCUUCGGGAACUCUGAGACAGGUGCUGCAUGGCUGUCGUCAGCUCGUGUCGUGAGAAG